UACGUAGGGUCCGAGCGUUGUCCGGAGUUACUGGGCGUAAAGCGCGCGCAGGCGGCGGUGCUGGCCCGGCGUGAAAGCCCCCGGCUCAACCGGGGAGAGUCGUCGGGGACCGCACCGCUUGAGGGCGGUAGGGGCUGGUGGAAUGCCUGGUGUAGUGGUGAAAUGCGUAGAGAUCAGGCAGAACACCUGGGGCGAAGGCGGCCAGCUGGGCCGUCCCUGACGCUGAGGCGCGAAGGUCAGGGGAGCAAACGGG
rnacentral:rRNA from 1 species